rnacentral:rRNA from 1 species
UACGUAGGUGGCAAGCGUUGUCCGGAAUUAUUGGGCGUAAAGCGCGCGCAGGCGGUUUCUUAAGUCUGAUGUGAAAGCCCACGGCUCAACCGUGGAAGGUCAUUGGAAACUGGGGAACUUGAGUACAGAAGAGAAGAGCGGAAUUCCACGUGUAGCGGUGAAAUGCGUAGAGAUGUGGAGGAACACCAGUGGCGAAGGCGGCUCUUUGGUCUGUAACUGACGCUGAGGCGCGAAAGCGUGGGGAUCAAACAGG